ACUUGCUUGCUUUUCUUUCAAACCUCUUUCAUUCUCAGUCACCUCAGCCAGAAAUUUCCUGCUUCAGAACUGAAGGUGACCAGGUGGUUUUACCUUGGACCUCCAGCAAGAACUACAAAGAAGAAAGGAGUCUGAAGAGUCAGUCAAGUUUUCUGUCUAGUCCAAGUAACACCCCUGU
rnacentral:lncRNA from 1 species